UACGUAGGGUGCAAGCGUUAAUCGGAAUUACUGGGCGUAAAGCGUGCGCAGGCGGUUCGGAAAGAGAGGUGUGAAAUCCCAGGGCUUAACCUUGGAACUGCACUUCUAACUACCGGGCUAGAGUACGUCAGAGGGGGGUAGAAUUCCACGUGUAGCAGUGAAAUGCGUAGAGAUGUGGAGGAAUACCGAUGGCGAAGGCAGCCCCCUGGGAUAAUACUGACGCUCAUGCACGAAAGCGUGGGGAGCAAACAGG
rnacentral:rRNA from 1 species